AUUGAACGCUGGCGGCAUGCCUAACACAUGCAAGUCGAACGAGUGGCGGACGGGUGAGUAAUGUCUGGGAAACUGCCUGAUGGAGGGGGAUAACUACUGGAAACGGUAGCUAAUACCGCAUACCAUCGGAUGUGCCCAGAUGGGAUUAGCUAGUAGGUGGGGUAAAGGCUCACCUAGGCGACGAUCCCUAGCUGGUCUGAGAGGAUGAUCAGCCACACUGGGACUGAGACACGGCCCAGACUCCUACGGGAGGCAGCAGUGGGGAAUAUUGCACAAUGGGCGAAAGCCUGAUGCAGCCAUGCCGCGUGUAUGAAGAAGGCCUUCGGGUUGUAAAGUACUUUCAGCGGGGAGGCGUUACCGGCAGAAGAAGCACCGGCUAACUCCGUGCCAGCAGCCGCGGUAAUAC
rnacentral:rRNA from 1 species